ACUAAAGGAGGCGCGAUGCGAGAUCCAUGUGAGAAAUGUUAAGUCUGCGAAAACGGGGUAGAAUGUCAGUGUCGCCAUAUUCACUUCUCUUGAGGUGUACAUUUCGUUUAUUUUUGGAAAAUGGUCCGUCCGGAAGCCGACACUGAUGAAGAGCGGUGUCAUUUCGAACAGCGAACUGAUCCAGCUGAGGAUCAACUUCUUGCAUGCUGAUCAGGAAACACGGCCUAGUUCACCACUAGCUAAGAAGCCACGCAAGUGUUGCAAGAGUACAACCAGUCUCAUCUCAUCUUCCAUGCGUAUAGUUUGCUUCAAUAAAUGUUCUGAAAAUCAAAA